GAAAACUUCAAUAAAUGGAGAAGUGAAUUCAGAUAUUCUCCUGCAACUUUCUAAUAGAGUGUCAGAUGUACCGAUUUCCAAAGUAUCAGAAAAUGAUUUCUCUGAGGAAGAGUGUCAGGAUUUGCAUCAUAGAGUGAAAGAUGGCCUGCUUAGAAGGCCUACUGUUGCAGAGUUUGAGGAGAAGGCCAGAAGUCUCCAUGAGAUUAUAACAAAAAAUUGGAUUGCCAAAGAACUGGUUGCACUAUCAAAUCUCAUUAAUCAGGCAAACGAGAAGGGAUGGAGAAAAGAAUAUCCU